GAUACCCUUCCUGCUGUUCACCAUAAUAGUUACCAUGCCAUGUGUCUACCUGGAGAUGGUCAUUGGUCAGUAUUCACAGAGUGGACCUAUCAACGUUUGGCAUCUGUGUCCGCCUUUCAAAGGUAUUGGUUUGGGUGGAGUCAUAUAUUCGUGGGUAUAUUGCACCUACUUCAGCGUCAUUUUCUGCUGGUUCAUGUUCUACCUCUACCAUUCCUUCUCCGACAACUUCCCUUGGAACAACUGUGACAACCACUGGAACACUAUUGCGUGCACAUCCUACAAUUUAGAAAACACCACAUGGAAUAACAGCACCAGUUAC
rnacentral:misc_RNA from 1 species